rnacentral:rRNA from 1 species
GGGAUCCCACCUGGGAAUAUUGCUAAAGAUUAAUCGCUAUGAAAUCGGGAUGCGUCCCAUUAGCUAGUUGGUAGGGUAACGGCCUACCAAAGCGACGAUGGGUAACUGGUCUGAGAGGAUGAUCAGUCACACGGACACUGAGACACGGGUCCGACUCCUACGGGAGGCAGCAGUAAGGAAUAUUGGACAAUGGACGCAAGUCUGAUCCAGCCAUGCCGCGUGGAGGAAGAAGGUCCUCUGGAUUGUAAACUCCUUUUAUCCGGGGCUAAAAUGGGGCUAUACGCCGUAUUGAAGGUACCGGAGGAAUAAGCCACGGCUAACUACGUGCCAGCAGCCGCGGUAAUACGUAGGUGGCAAGCGUUGUCCGGAUUUAUUGGGUUUAAAGGGUGCGUAGGCGGCUUGUUAAGUCAGUGGUUAAAUCGUGUGGCUCAACCAUACUUCGCCAUUGAUACUGACAGGCUAGAAUAUGUCCGAGGAUACUGGAAUGAAUGGUGUAGCGGUGAAAUGCAUAGAUAUCAUUCAGAACACCGAUUGCGAAGGCAGGUAUCUGGGGCGUGAUUGACGCUGAGGCACGAAAGUGUGGGGAGCAAACAGGAUUAGAUACCCUGGUAGUCCACACUGUAAACGUUGGUCACUAGAUGUUCGGUCGCAAGGCUGAGUGUCCAAGGGAAACCGAUAAGUGACCCACCUGGGGAGUACGUUCGCAAGAA